UACGUAGGGGGCGAGCGUUGUCCGGAUUUACUGGGCGUAAAACGCUUGUAGGUGGCCACGCCAAGUCGGACGUGAAAUCUCCCGGCUUAACUGGGAGGGGUCGUUCGAUACUGGCGGGCUCGAGGCAGGUAGGGGGAAGCGGAAUUCCCGGUGUAGUGGUGGAAUGCGUAGAUAUCGGGAGGAACACCAGUGGCGAAGGCGGCUUCCUGGACCUGUUCUGACACUGAGGAGCGAAAGCGUGGGGAGCGAUCCGG
rnacentral:rRNA from 1 species